GAUGAACGCUGGCGGCGUGCCUAAUACAUGCCAGUCGAGCGAACAGACGAGGAGCUUGCUCCUCUGACGUUAGCGGCGGACCGGUGAGUAACACGUGGAUAACCUACCUAUAAGACUGGGAUAACUUCGGGAAACCGGAGCUAAUACCGGAUAAUAUAUUGAACCGCAUGGUUCAAUAGUGAAAGACGGUUUUGCUGUCACUUAUAGAUGGAUCCGCGCCGCAUUAGCUAGUUGGUAAGGUAACGGCUUACCAAGGCAACGAUGCGUAGCCGACCUGAGAGGGUGAUCGGCCACACUGGAACUGAGACACGGUCCAGACUCCUACGGGAGGCAGCAGUAGGGAAUCUUCCGCAAUGGGCGAAAGCCUGACGGAGCAACGCCGCGUGAGUGAUGAAGGUCUUCGGAUCGUAAAACUCUGUUAUUAGGGAAGAACAAAUGUGUAAGUAACUAUGCACGUCUUGACGGUACCUAAUCAGAAAGCCACGGCUAACUACGUG
rnacentral:rRNA from 1 species